rnacentral:rRNA from 1 species
ACACCAGAAAAGGCAAAGAAAACGGAAACGGUGGAAAACAACUUU